GAAUAGCAAGGGUGUUUGUCUUAUGAAAGGGUGUUUGUCUCAUGCUAGAAGAAGGAUUCUUAGAAUAGACAAGGACUCGUGUUGUUAUUUUCAGUUUGUUAUAGACAAGGACUCGUGUUGUUAUUUUCAGUUAGAUAAGAUGUUUCAGAACCCCGGAAUGUACCCACAUAUGGAUAGAUUGUGUUUUUAGUUUUGUAUAAAGGACGGGGAAUGUUAGGGGAAUAUCGGAAUCCACCUGAGACGCUAGCAGACGUGCUGCGUGUGAAUACCGAAUUUCCCCUUGAGACGAUCGUCCUGAGAUUCCCCGAUCCAGAGUGCUCAAGUGAUGCUACAAUAUUCGAUGCACAAGCCGCCAUUGCUAAGUCAUCUCAUGAGCCAGUGGCAGGAGAGACGAAGGAAUUGGAAUCAUGGUUGCAGGGUACAGCCCUUUGGGCACACCAAAAGAGUGGACAUCUGGGAGAAAAGGCAACUUACAGAUUGUCGUGAGGCUCAGUCUUGGAAUCCUUGGAAUUGUAUUAUUGGUCGUCCCCUCU